rnacentral:lncRNA from 1 species
UAAAAAAUAAAAAUAAAAAUAAAAUAAAAUAAAAUAAAAUAAAAUAAAAUAAAAUAAAAUAAAAUUAAAUAAAUAAAAUAUUCCAAAUACAAAUCCAAAUAAUCCCAAAAGAUUAUGGUAUGUGCAAAGGCAAAUAUGAGACACAUCACAAUAUGCAUUUACAUUUACAUGGCAUUCGUAUGUAUGUAUGCUGGAUGAAUAUUUUCCUUAAUAUUCAACAGUUUUACAGCUCUAUGAAGAAUGAUAGAAAAUUCAAUUGCUACCCGAAGACUAGCAAGCUAAUAGCUGUGGCUUGUCAUCAAGCCCAUCAAUAAUAUCAGAUUUGGAAACAAGGAAGGACAAUGGUUCCUGGCUGAUGGAAGACACAUGCCUUAAAGAGCACAUCUUGCAAAAAAAAAAAAAAAAGUACUAGAGAAAAUAUCAUGAUCUAAACAGGAUUUUGGAAUGAAUUUGUAUAAAAUACGCAUGUCAUUUUGCCUGUUUUUUUUUUUUUUUUUUGAGUGGGAAGGGAGAAGGGAAGAAAAAGAUAACAACACUGUAAGGAAUGCUGCAUUUCUCCCAUUAAGGGGUGCCAUGUGUUCUAAAUCUACAGGAUACAACUGGAGAUGAAAAAGGAUUUGUGUGUCUUCAUUUCACUCAAAAAUAUUAUGCUACCGUGUCUUGACAUCUUAUUGUUCAUGCUGUUCAUGCCUGAUGGAGGUAUUUAAGGGUAAUAUAUUUCUCUUGUAAUUGAGGCUGACU